GUGAGCGACGAGUUUGAUCGGAUUUUAUUGAUAUUUUAUUCGCGUUUACAUUUUUAAACCGACCGAACCGAAGAUUUCUUUUGACCAUUGCCAUCGUCAGGACGAAAGAAUCGCCACUUAAAUCAUCUGGAUCGCCGAUCCUGUCGUCAGUCAGUCUACUUAUUAAGCUUCAGCACCUGCUGCAGUCACCAGAGCGCCAAUUAAGUCUACAGACAGAGAGCUGAGUGGUCCCACAUCAACAGUGUCCAGAGGCAGUCCUGUAUAUGUGCAUGCCUCCUCCUUGCAUGCUUCUCCUGCACCAUGUACAGCCUCCAAAAAUCAGCCCGCAGCCAUUCUGUCAAGAUGUACCUUCAGUGCCAGUGAAGGCCCCCAUUCCAGUCCCAGUGGAACUUCUGCGCAUGUUCGUGGCGCUCACUGAAGCAGUAGCGCAAACCCCUGCCACACAUGAGCCAGAGACACGACUGGAUGAAGCAGUAAUACAGCCAGCAACAACUUCUCCUGCCCAGCUAAGGUAUUUUCCAAUACCAAGCACAAGGCAUGGCAAGGGAGAUGACCUGGAGUGAGUUUCAGACCACUGCCUUUUAUGAAAAGGAUAACAAAGAAAACAAAGAUCAAUUAUCUUGAUCAACUGAGAGAGGAAAAUGAAGCACACACGUGUGCACACAGACACGAGCAUGUACACACACACACAAACGCACACGCAUACACACACGCACGC